AUGGAAUCAGUGAAAGCGAGGUUGAGAGGUUCUGCGAAAAGUUGCAUAACAGUUUCUGAGUUGGUUAGGAUCUGUUCUGAGUAUUGCUCGGAUUAUGAUCAAGCGGUUAAGGUUGCAAAGAUGUUUGAUGAUUCUGCGGCUGUGAUUAUGCUAGAUGAUGCGGUUUUUCUCUUUAACCGGAGCAGGUUGCCUAUCCAUGUGUGGCUAAGCGACUGCGAACGACUCAUACAGGGUUUUCAAGACUGGUAUGUACGUGAGAAUUUGAGUUGCAAAUGA